AAGUCGUAACAAGGUUUCCGUAGGUGAACCUGCGGAAGGAUCAUUAUUGAAUCUAGCAAGCCCGGCUUGCGCGUAUUUAAAACCCCAUACUUUUGAAAAUAAAACAUAACUUACUUAAAAAUAAGUAAAAGAUCACUUUCAACAACGGAUCUCUUGGCUCUC
rnacentral:misc_RNA from 1 species